AAAAUAGCUUAAUAGGCAAAGCGUGACUUUGCCAAAGUCAUCAUGAGGGUUCAAAUCCCUUUUUUCGCCACA
rnacentral:tRNA from 1 species